rnacentral:rRNA from 1 species
GAUGAACGCUGGCGGCGUGCCUAAUACAUGCAAGUCGAGCGAACGGACGAGAAGCUUGCUUCUCUGAUGUUAGCGGCGGACGGGUGAGUAACACGUGGAUAACCUACCUAUAAGACUGGGAUAACUUCGGGAAACCGGAGCUAAUACCGGAUAAUAUUUUGAACCGCAUGGUUCAAAAGUGAAAGACGGUCUUGCUGUCACUUAUAGAUGGAUCCGCGCUGCAUUAGCUAGUUGGUAAGGUAACGGCUUACCAAGGCAACGAUGCAUAGCCGACCUGAGAGGGUGAUCGGCCACACUGGAACGGAGACACGGUCCAGACUCCUACGGGAGGCAGCAGUAGGGAAUCUUCCGCAAUGGGCGAAAGCCUGACGGAGCAACGCCGCGUGAGUGAUGAAGGUCUUCGGAUCGUAAAACUCUGUUAUUAGGGAAGAACAUAUGUGUAAGUAACUGUGCACAUCUUGACGGUAACUAAUCAGAAAGCCACGGCUAACUACGUG